UAGAUGCGAGAGUAGAGCAUAUCAAUAAGCGGAGGAAAAGAAACUAACAAGGAUUCCCUUAGUAACGGCGAGUGAAGCGGGAAGAGCUCAAAUUUGAAAUCUUCAAGGUUCUACCUUGACGAAUUGUAGUUUAAAGAAGUGUUUUCUGUUAGAUGAGUAGCAAAAGUUCCUUGGAAUGGGACAUCAUAGAGGGUGAGAAUCCCGUAUUUGGUUAUUCAUUCUAGCUUUGUGAUACACUUUCAAAGAGUCGGAUUGUUUGGGAAUGCAGUCCAAAAUGGGUGGUAAAUUUCAUCUAAAGCUAAAUAUUGGCGAGAGACCGAUAGCGAACAAGUACCGUGAGGGAAAGAUGAAAAGAACUUUGAAAAGAGAGUUAAACAGUACGUGAAAUUGUCAAAAGGGAAGCGUUUGACACCAGUGUUGUUUUUCCGAAAAUCAAUUACGAAUGGCUUGAUUUUGUGUUGUAUUGACCUUAUCAGCUUUCUGCACUUUUUUCGAGUCUUUCUUAAUGCACUUUUCGGUUAACAAGUCAACAUCAAUUUCUUUUGUUGUAAAAGAGUAUUCGGAAGGUGGCUUUCUUUUCGGAGAAAGUGUUUAUAGCCCUAUACUUCUACAAUCGGAGAGAUUGAGGUCUGCAGCGUAGAUCCUUCGGGGUUAGAUACACUUUGUGCUAAGUUGUAGCUUUUCAUAGACAACUUGUUGACUAUGUUUAGUCAUGCGGCUUACUCGCUUGUGCUAUUUUACCUACGCUUAGGAUGUUGAGCGCAUGUCUCUCUCU
rnacentral:rRNA from 1 species